AACGAACGCUGGCGGCAUGCCUAACACAUGCAAGUCGAACGAGACCUUCGGGUCUAGUGGCGCACGGGUGCGUAACGCGUGGGAAUCUGCCCUUAGGUACGGGAUAACACAGGGAAACUUGUGCUAAUACCGUAUGAUGACGAAAGUCCAAAGAUUUAUCGCCUAAGGAUGAGCCCGCGUAGGAUUAGCUUGUUGGUGAGGUAAAGGCUCACCAAGGCGACGAUCCUUAGCUGGUCUGAGAGGAUGAUCAGCCACACUGGGACUGAGGCACGGCCCAGACUCCUACGGGAGGCAGCAGUGGGGAAUAUUGGACAAUGGGCGAAAGCCUGAUCCAGCAAUGCCGCGUGAGUGAUGAAGGCCCUAGGGUUGUAAAGCUCUUUUACCCGGGAAGAUAAUGACUGUACCGGGAGAAUAAGCCCCGGCUAACUCCGUGCCAGCAGCCGCGGUAAUACGGAGGGGGCUAGCGUUGUUCGGAAUUACUGGGCGUAAAGCGCACGUAGGCGGCUUUGUAAGUUAGAGGUGAAAGCCCGGGGCUCAACCCCGGAAUUGCCUUUAAGACUGCAUCGCUUGAACGUCGGAGAGGUGAGUGGAAUUCCGAGUGUAGAGGUGAAAUUCGUAGAUAUUCGGAAGAACACCAGUGGCGAAGGCGGCUCACUGGACGACUGUUGACGCUCAUGCACGAAAGCGUGGGGACCAAACAGGAUUAGAUACCCUGGUAGUCCACGCCCUAAACGAUGUCAACUGGUUGUUGGGUCUUCACUGACUCAGUAACGAAGCUAACGCGUGAAGUUGACCGCCUGGGGAGUACGGUCGCAAGAUUAAA
rnacentral:rRNA from 1 species